rnacentral:rRNA from 1 species
GACGAACGCUGGCGGCACGCUUAACACAUGCAAGUCGAACGGACUUGAACGGGCUUUCUUUGUUGCUCGAGUGGCGAACGGGUGAGUAACACGUGAGCAACCUGCCUCUGACAGUGGGAUAGCUUCUGGAAACGGAGGGUAAUACCCCAUAGGAUAUACAUCUGGCUUGUUAGAUAUAGCAAAGAGAUUCGGUCAGAGAUGGGCUCGCGUCUGAUUAGAUAGUUGGUGAGGUAUCGGCUUACCAAGGCGUCGAUCAGUAGCCGGACUGAGAGGCUGAACGGCCAGAUUGGGACUGAGACACGGACCAGACUCGUACGGGAGGCAGGAGAGGGGAAUAUUGCACAAUGGAGCGAACUGUGACGCAGCGAUGCGGGGUAGAGGAAGAAGGUGUUCGGAUUGUAAACUCCUUUUAGAAGGGACGAUAAUGACGGUAACUGAAGAAAAAGCACCGGCUAACUACGUG